rnacentral:rRNA from 1 species
GAGUUUGAUCAUGGCUCAGAUUGAACGCUGGCGGCAUGCCUUACACAUGUAAGUCGAACGGCAGCACGGGGGCAACCCUGGUGGCGAGUGGCGAACGGGUGAGUAACAUAUCGGAACGUGCCCUGGAGUGGGGGAUAACUAGUCGAAAGAUUAGCUAAUACCGCAUACGAUCUACGGAUGAAAGUGGGGGAUCGCAAGACCUCAUGCUCGUGGAGCGGCCGAUAUCUGAUUAGCUAGUUGGUGGGGUAAAGGCCUACCAAGGCAUCGAUCAGUAGCUGGUCUGAGAGGACGACCAGCCACACUGGGACUGAGACACGGCCCAGACUCCUACGGGAGGCAGCAGUGGGGAAUUUUGGACAAUGGGCGCAAGCCUGAUCCAGCAAUGCCGCGUGAGUGAAGAAGGCCUUCGGGUUGUAAAGCUCUUUUGUCAGGGAAGAAACGGUGAGGGCUAAUAUCCCUUGCUAAUGACGGUACCUGAAGAAUAAGCACCGGCUAACUACGUGCCAGCAGCCGCGGUAAUACGUAGGGUGCCAGCAGCCGCGGUAC